rnacentral:sRNA from 1 species
UGACGUCUUCUUCUUCUUCUUCUUUACGAUCUCU